rfam:Myotis davidii contig49695, whole genome shotgun sequence.
GUAUUCAUUUUAGCAGCACAUAUACUAAAAAUGGAACAAUAUAGAAGAUUAGCAUGGCCCCUGCACAAGGAUGACAAGCAAGUUCGUGGAGUGUUCCAUGUUUUU